rnacentral:lncRNA from 1 species
UGGUUGUUUGUGUGUGUGUGUGUGUGUGUGUGUGUGUGUGUGUGCAGUUAACGGCCUGGCCGCGGGACCACUCCUGCCUGUGUCAUUUUGUGGUCUGACGAGGAUCUCUUUGACAAAGGUAGAUCUGCAGGCAAAUCAUCCUGUGCCACAAGUGCUGCAGGGAGCACAGAGCCGUAGAGUUAUAGGAAUUGGAUAAUAUCACCUUCAUCACUUUUAGAGGAACGGAGGAGGCGCCUCUUACCAGCAGUUUGGGCUGCUCCUGCCCUGGACCGAUCCUCUUCCAGGCUAUCUGUGCUUCCACUGCCAAUGACUACCUCUCUCUCCACCACAGGUGAUUUCUUUGAUAUGUUAAUAUCUUCA